rnacentral:rRNA from 1 species
GGGGAAUUGUUCGCAAUGGGCGCAAGCCUGACGACGCAACGCCGCGUGGAGGAUGAAGGUCUUCGGAUUGUAAACUCCUGUUGACCGGGAAGAAUGGGUCUCGAUUGAAUACAUCGAGGCAAUGACGGUACCGGUUGAGGAAGCCACGGCUAACUCUGUGCCAGCAGCCGCGGUAAUACAGAGGUGGCAAGCGUUGUUCGGAAUUACUGGGCGUAAAGGGCGCGUAGGAGGCCUUCUAAGUCGGACGUGAAAUCCCCAGGCUUAACUUGGGAACUGCGUCCGAUACUGGAGGGCUCGAGUGCGGGAGGGGGAUGUGGAAUUCCAGGUGUAGCGGUGAAAUGCGUAGAUAUCUGGAGGAACACCGGUGGCGAAGGCGGCAUCCUGGACCGACACUGACGCUGAUGCGCGAAAGCCAGGGGAGCAAAC